rfam:Novosphingobium sp. B1 genome assembly, contig: Ga0157230_101
CCUGCGGACCGGGCCCCUCUGACGGCGGUUGUUCCAGCCUCCGUGAUGUCGGACCGCAUCG